rnacentral:rRNA from 1 species
CACGUAGGGGGCAAGCGUUGUCCGGAUUUAUUGGGCGUAAAGAGCUCGUAGGCGGUUUGUCGCGUCGGCCGUGAAAUCUCCACGCUUAACGUGGAGCGUGCGGUCGAUACGGGCAGACUUGAGUUCGGUAGGGGAGACUGGAAUUCCUGGUGUAGCGGUGAAAUGCGCAGAUAUCAGGAGGAACACCGGUGGCGAAGGCGGGUCUCUGGGCCGAUACUGACGCUGAGACACGAAAGCGUGGGGAGCAAACAGG